GAUGAAGAACGCAGCGAAUUGCGAUACGUAAUGUGAAUUGCAGAUUUUCAGUGAAUCAUCGAAUCUUUGAACGCACAUUGCGCCCCUUGGUAUUCCGAGGGGCAUGUCUGUUCGAGCGUCAUUAUAACCCCUCAAGCUCAGCUUGGUGUUGGGGCCUGCUGCACUGGCAGCCCUUAAAAUCAGUGGCGGCGCCAUCUGGCUCUAAGCGUAGUAAUUCUUCUCGCUAUGGAGUCCUGGUGGAUGCUUGCCAUCAACCCCCAAUUUUUCUAUGGUUGACCUCGGAUCAGGUAGGGAUACCCGCUGAACUUAAGCAUAUCAAUAAGCGGAGGA
rnacentral:misc_RNA from 1 species